GAUACAGGAACUUAAUACGGAAUAAAAGCAGGGCAUGAGGAGUCGCACGGGAAUACUGCGGCUUUGUUUUGUUUUGUUUGUCAAAACGGGCAUGUUUAGAAUUAUUGUACUUUUGUUUUAUUUUUAUAAUACUUGUACAGAUACCUCAGUGGUCGAUGGAUAAAAGUGCCCGCCUUUGACUGCUUAAUACGAUGGGGUUUUGACUUUACAUAUUGAUCCAUAUGGGAGUUUAAGGCGGAUUGCAUUAAUUCAUCAAGUGUUAAAGAAUUAAAGUGAAGCUCUGCAGGCUUCAGAACUGUAAAAUAACCAAUGGAUUGCAUAAAUCCCAUGCAGAAUAAGAGAAGACAUAGUGGAGAGCUGGAACAGCGGCACAACCAGUCGAAAAGGCUGUGUAAUGGACUGGGAGGCUGUGGCCGGGUUGAAUAUGGUGCAGUGAUGGAAACUCCAAUGGACACGUGGGAUGCCCAAAAUCACAGCCCUCAAAAUGGACAUGGUGCCAUCAUCCCCGGCAUGCAGGUGUUACCCGCCCCAGGACGCGGUGCAGGACAGUAUUGCCUCAGGUGUAUGGCAGGUGAAUCUGGCCAUAUAAACCACAUCAUGAGGUAUUGAUCAGCAUUGCCGACGACUCCUGGAGAAAAUGAAUCGACUGAAUAAACGACCGAUGCAGAGAAGCAAUCUGCAGUUUAUCCGUACCGUGUGGGUUUUUUCCCACAUGCUUUGUGCCUUCCAUGCAUUUUCCAACUGGCCUCACUUACCUACAGUAGUACCUAUUAUUGUUUCGUAGCAAUGAGGUUCACAUUACCAAGAACACUCCAGUAGUAAAAAAGGCCAUGACUGAUGGUUUAGAUCACACUUUUAGUGAAGUGUGUUGAGAUUUUUGCACUGUCCAUUUUUCAGUGUUGCAUGGUCUUGAUUUUCAAGAAGGAAUUACUGCUGUAAAUGCAAUGUUAGCAAAGUCUGUGAAACCAUAUGCACAA
rnacentral:lncRNA from 1 species